UACGUAGGGACCAAGCGUUGUUCGGAUUUACUGGGCGUAAAGGGCGCGUAGGCGGCGUGACAAGUCACUUGUGAAAUCUCUGGGCUUAACCCAGAACGGCCAAGUGAAACUGUUGUGCUAGAGUGCAGAAGGGGCAAUCGGAAUUCUCGGUGUAGCGGUGAAAUGCGUAGAUAUCGAGAGGAACACCAGAGGUGAAGACGGGUUGCUGGGCUGACACUGACGCUGAGGCGCGAAAGCCAGGGGAGCAAACAGG
rnacentral:rRNA from 1 species